UACGUAUGGUGCAAGCGUUAUCCGGAUUUACUGGGUGUAAAGGGAGCGCAGGCGGUACGGCAAGUCUGAUGUGAAAGCCCGGGGCUCAACCCCGGUACUGCAUUGGAAACUGUCGGACUAGAGUGUCGGAGGGGUAAGUGGAAUUCCUAGUGUAGCGGUGAAAUGCGUAGAUAUUAGGAGGAACACCAGUGGCGAAGGCGGCUUACUGGACGAUUACUAACGCUGAGGCUCGAAAGCGUGGGGAGCAAACAGG
rnacentral:rRNA from 1 species